rnacentral:rRNA from 1 species
GGUUAAGCGACUAAGCGUACACGGUGGAUGCCCUGGCAGUCAGAGGCGAUGAAGGACGUGCUAAUCUGCGAUAAGCGUCGGUAAGGUGAUAUGAACCGUUAUAACCGGCGAUUUCCGAAUGGGGAAACCCAGUGUGUUUCGACACACUAUCAUUAACUGAAUCCAUAGGUUAAUGAGGCGAACCGGGGGAACUGAAACAUCUAAGUACCCCGAGGAAAAGAAAUCAACCGAGAUUCCCCCAGUAGCGGCGAGCGAACGGGGAGCAGCCCAGAGCCUGAAUCAGUGUGUGUGUUAGUGGAAGCGUCUGGAAAGGCGCGCGAUACAGGGUGACAGCCCCGUACACAAAAAUGCACAUGCUGUGAGCUCGAUGAGUAGGGCGGGACACGUGGUAUCCUGUCUGAAUAUGGGGGGACCAUCCUCCAAGGCUAAAUACUCCUGACUGACCGAUAGUGAACCAGUACCGUGAGGGAAAGGCGAAAAGAACCCCGGCGAGGGGAGUGAAAAAGAACCUGAAACCGUGUACGUACAAGCAGUGGGAGCACGCUUCGGCGUGUGACUGCGUACCUUUUGUAUAAUGGGUCAGCGACUUAUAUUCUGUAGCAAGGUUAACCGAAUAGGGGAGCCGAAGGGAAACCGAGUCUUAACUGGGCGUUAAGUUGCAGGGUAUAGACCCGAAACCCGGUGAUCUAGCCAUGGGCAGGUUGAAGGUUGGGUAACACUAACUGGAGGACCGAACCGACUAAUGUUGAAAAAUUAGCGGAUGACUUGUGGCUGGGGGUGAAAGGCCAAUCAAACCGGGAGAUAGCUGGUUCUCCCCGAAAGCUAUUUAGGUAGCGCCUCGUGAAUUCAUCUCCGGGGGUAGAGCACUGUUUCGGCAAGGGGGUCAUCCCGACUUACCAACCCGAUGCAAACUGCGAAUACCGGAGAAUGUUAUCACGGGAGACACACGGCGGGUGCUAACGUCCGUCGUGAAGAGGGAAACAACCCAGACCGCCAGCUAAGGUCCCAAAGUCAUGGUUAAGUGGGAAACGAUGUGGGAAGGCCCAGACAGCCAGGAUGUUGGCUUAGAAGCAGCCAUCAUUUAAAGAAAGCGUAAUAGCUCACUGGUCGAGUCGGCCUGCGCGGAAGAUGUAACGGGGCUAAACCAUGCACCGAAGCUGCGGCAGCGACGCUUAUGCGUUGUUGGGUAGGGGAGCGUUCUGUAAGCCUGUGAAGGUGUGCUGUGAGGCAUGCUGGAGGUAUCAGAAGUGCGAAUGCUGACAUAAGUAACGAUAAAGCGGGUGAAAAGCCCGCUCGCCGGAAGACCAAGGGUUCCUGUCCAACGUUAAUCGGGGCAGGGUGAGUCGACCCCUAAGGCGAGGCCGAAAGGCGUAGUCGAUGGGAAACAGGUUAAUAUUCCUGUACUUGGUGUUACUGCGAAGGGGGGACGGAGAAGGCUAUGUUGGCCGGGCGACGGUUGUCCCGGUUUAAGCGUGUAGGCUGGUUUUCCAGGCAAAUCCGGAAAAUCAAGGCUGAGGCGUGAUGACGAGGCACUACGGUGCUGAAGCAACAAAUGCCCUGCUUCCAGGAAAAGCCUCUAAGCAUAAGGUAACAUCAAAUCGUACCCCAAACCGACACAGGUGGUCAGGUAGAGAAUACCAAGGCGCUUGAGAGAACUCGGGUGAAGGAACUAGGCAAAAUGGUGCCGUAACUUCGGGAGAAGGCACGCUGAUAUGUAGGUGAAGCGACUUGCUCGUGGAGCUGAAAUCAGUCGAAGAUACCAGCUGGCUGCAACUGUUUAUUAAAAACACAGCACUGUGCAAACACGAAAGUGGACGUAUACGGUGUGACGCCUGCCCGGUGCCGGAAGGUUAAUUGAUGGGGUUAGCGCAAGCGAAGCUCUUGAUCGAAGCCCCGGUAAACGGCGGCCGUAACUAUAACGGUCCUAAGGUAGCGAAAUUCCUUGUCGGGUAAGUUCCGACCUGCACGAAUGGCGUAAUGAUGGCCAGGCUGUCUCCACCCGAGACUCAGUGAAAUUGAACUCGCUGUGAAGAUGCAGUGUACCCGCGGCAAGACGGAAAGACCCCGUGAACCUUUACUAUAGCUUGACACUGAACAUUGAGCCUUGAUGUGUAGGAUAGGUGGGAGGCUUUGAAGUGUGGACGCCAGUCUGCAUGGAGCCGACCUUGAAAUACCACCCUUUAAUGUUUGAUGUUCUAACGUGGACCCGUGAUCCGGGUUGCGGACAGUGUCUGGUGGGUAGUUUGACUGGGGCGGUCUCCUCCUAAAGAGUAACGGAGGAGCACGAAGGUUGGCUAAUCCUGGUCGGACAUCAGGAGGUUAGUGCAAUGGCAUAAGCCAGCUUGACUGCGAGCGUGACGGCGCGAGCAGGUGCGAAAGCAGGUCAUAGUGAUCCGGUGGUUCUGAAUGGAAGGGCCAUCGCUCAACGGAUAAAAGGUACUCCGGGGAUAACAGGCUGAUACCGCCCAAGAGUUCAUAUCGACGGCGGUGUUUGGCACCUCGAUGUCGGCUCAUCACAUCCUGGGGCUGAAGUAGGUCCCAAGGGUAUGGCUGUUCGCCAUUUAAAGUGGUACGCGAGCUGGGUUUAGAACGUCGUGAGACAGUUCGGUCCCUAUCUGCCGUGGGCGCUGGAGAACUGAGGGGGGCUGCUCCUAGUACGAGAGGACCGGAGUGGACGCAUCACUGGUGUUCGGGUUGUCAUGCCAAUGGCACUGCCCGGUAGCUAAAUGCGGAAGAGAUAAGUGCUGAAAGCAUCUAAGCACGAAACUUGCCCCGAGAUGAGUUCUCCCUGACUCCUUGAGAGUCCUGAAGGAACGUUGAAGACGACGACGUUGAUAGGCCGGGUGUGUAAGCGCAGCGAUGCGUUGAGCUAACCGGUACUAAUGAACCGUGAGGCUUAACCUU